CGACUAGUGUCUCCGGUAACUCUUCCGUUUCCAUCCCAAGCAGACCGUUAGCAUCCAGCUAGCUUAGCACCGCGCUAACAACAGAAGUACCGGAGCUCACCGGUACCGGACAGACGGUUCUGUGGUGGCGGAGGCAGUUUAACGGGAGUUAAUGAAGCAGUAAGCAGCUCCGGUAGUUAGAAUAGCCUCCUUUAUGAGAACCGCUCCGUGUUCAUGAAUUCAUUAGCCGUGGAGCUAACAGCUAGCCGCUCAGAACUAACGGCUAACAGGUAACAGCAGGUUCUAAAGACAUGAACUGACUGCGGAGCACCGAUUAAAAACACUAUUCAGUAAUUAACAGUUUAAUUAAAGCUAAUUAUCCGCUAACACUCACAACCUGCACUGAACUGAUUUAUCCUUUGCAUCACAAUGUAAGCAGGGUUUUUAUACCCUGAAUUUGUCUGUCAGGCUCUAAGAAAAUAAACAUAUUUAAAACAAAAAAACAAAGGGUAGUUUUUUGUGUCUCUCCAUCUUUGUGAUAAUUUCAUGACUAUUUCCAACACAUUAAAACGCCAUAGACGUGAAGAAUUUUUAAAUAAAUCGCGUUUUAUACAGGGGCGGGCUGCCUGACAGUCUGAACUGGGGGAGGCAAAACCAGCUUUUAAUACAGGCUUCGCUUUGUGCAUUGAGCUCCUUCGGCUUCCGUAGCGCCGGUUUAGUGUGAAAUAAAAACAGUAACUGUGAAAUAAACACCACAACAAUGUGAACGAAGCUCUGACAGUCCGCAGGAACACACGCCGGGUUUAACCGGAGCCGUCAGUUAGCCUGCCGUGCUAACGUUAGCACUUCCUGUAGUUUUGUAACGAUGUCGUAACAGCAGUGACGUAACUGAAGCAGAACGAGCAGAGAGCAGACAGGUAGAUCCAGGUGAGUCCAGAUGCGGCGCUCGGUGUCCGAGGCCUUGUGGGCCGUGUGUGCAGCCGACUCCAUGUCCAUGCCGGUCCACUGGUACUACAACGUCCAGGACAUCUGCAGGGACUUUGGAGGCUGGAUCUCAGGCUUCAGUUCCCCCCGAGACAGACACCCGUCCAGCAUCCUCAGCAUGUCCAACACCGCUGGCAGCGGUCGCUCUGCCUGGUCUUCCGGCUCCAAACGUCCUGAUGUGGUCGGAAACAUCAUCCUCCACGACAAACUGGACUUAUGGAAGUCCUCCAGAGGCUCCGUACACUACCACCAGGGUCUCCAGGCUGGAGAGAACACACUGAACGUUCUGUGUUCUCUGAGAGCUGCUCGGACUCUGGUUUCUGGAAGGUUCUCCGAUGUUUCCCGUCCGGAGCCUCGAGGCGCAGUGUUGGCCGACUACGUCCAAUUCCUGACCACGCCCGGAUCGCACAACGACUCGUACGCCGAGUCCUUCCACCGGGCGUUCUUCUCCGACUGGCAGGAGGACCGGCUGAUGGCACCAAGCGACAUCCUGGUGUUUGCUGAGGAACGUUCUCGGUUGAAGCUUAGCUCUUCAUUCCCUGACAGUCAGCUGGACGCCAUCGGCUGCCUUCCCAUGAUCCUCCCCUUCGUCCUGCUGUCGGCUUCAGCCAAUGAGGAGCGAGCUGUGUCGGCGGCGGUGGACUUCGUGAAGCUCACCCAUCCUCACCCCAGAGUUCCUGAGUAUGUGUCGAUCUACAGCCGGGCACUGCACGCUGUGGUGGGCGGAGCCAGCGUCCGCCAGCAGGCCGAGCGUGCUCUGAAGGCGCUGGACACCUGGGACACCUGCCAGAGCUUCAUGCAGAAGGCGGCCAGGUUCCCUGAUUCCUCUGAGGACAGACUGAAGGUCCAUCAGAAUGCUGUGAACCACCUCGGCCUUGCCUGCUACACUAAAGGAGCUCUGUCCAGUUUGUUCUAUUUGGCCCAUGAGUUCCACGAUGACCUCAGAGGAGGGAUCCUGACAAACACCAACUGUGGAGGUGAGAACUGUAACCGCGGGGCGGCCCUUGGAGCUCUACUCGGAGCUUCCGGGCCUCAAAGUGGCGGCGUUCCUCAGCAGUGGAAGGAUGAGCUGAGAGACGGACAGGAGUUCAUCCCUGACAUCCUGAAGGAGCUGCAAUAAGGCAGCAUCGCCCCCCAGAGGACUGGAGGAGAACUACAGUGAGGCAGCGUCGCCCCCUGGAGGACUGGAGGGGAACUACAACGGUUUACAAUCACUCAGCUUUGAUUCCACAUCUCUGUAUGAUGAUUACUGAUUACUUUGGUUUUUGUACAAUGACAUCAUAUGAACUAUUAAACAUUAUUAAAUUAUACAUAUUUAUUAUUUGUGCCUUGAUUUGACCUGUUUGAAGCACCAGCAGCCUUUAAAGAACAAUAAAAACCUAAAGUGGACGGAUUCACUGAGUGUUUUUUUCACGACUAACCUGUUAAACUCUUUACCUUUAGGGAUGUUUGGGACAGUUUUUGGUUUUAAUUAAUCAGAUGUGAGCUUUAGACGCUCUCAGGGUUUUACUGGAAAUCAUCAGCUGGCAGUGACGUUAUAAGUGGAAAUAGUUUAAAUAUACUACUACUACUAAUAAUAAUAAUAAUGACAACAAUAACAAUAAUAAUAAUAAUAAUAA
ensembl:lncRNA